UACGUAGGGGGCAAGCGUUGUCCGGAAUCAUUGGGCGUAAAGAGCGUGUAGGCGGUCCUGUAAGUCCGCUGUGAAAGUCAAGGGCUCAACCCUUGAAUGCCGGUGGAUACUGCAGGACUAGAGUCCGGAAGAGGCGAGUGGAAUUCCUGGUGUAGCGGUGAAAUGCGCAGAUAUCAGGAGGAACACCGGUGGCGAAGGCGGGUCUCUGGGCCAUAACUGACGCUGAGAAGCGAAAGCAUGGGGAGCGAACAGG
rnacentral:rRNA from 1 species